AGGAAGGCUUGCUGGACUGGCUGCACUGCAGAGCACAAACUGGCCUCUACUUCAGUCCCGUGACUCAGAAGAGAAAUGUGUCCUUGACAAGCUGUCUCCUAGCACAGAUACAUCUGGAACAUGCAGCAAUCUUUGGAAAGGUUGAAUAAAGCUAGAGAUGUUCAUUGCCAAGGUACUCAGCUCCUCUUGUGCACUGUGCCUUGGAGUGUGACUUGUGCAGCCUCCAGAGGGAACUCUGACUGCUGCACACUUGGGAAAGACCCUCUGCUCCUUGGGAACCUGCUACCUCUGCUUUCUGGAGAUGCCUGGUCAGUGGCUUAGUCAUGGCUUUUGGCUUCUCUUCUGCCAUCUAUCACGAGUUCCUGGGUGGUCCAGCUCAGUGAAUGCAUCUGUCUGUAAAAUAACCAUCCGGGUAGAAACAAAUUGUAAUGCUUGAGAAAAGUGUGCUUUUGCGUACAGAUUGUUUAAAAAUCAGUAUCUUUAGUAUUUCCUACUGCCUUCCUAUUUUUUUUUUCCUGCUGGAAGCGGAUGUUGCAUCAAUAAAAGCUAUGACAAAAGACUUGUACUAUACUCAUCCUUUGUAUUUUUGAUGAGUUUUAUGAAGAUCCAGGGUCUUCAGCUGUGUUCAGAAGCAGGGCUUUACUGGGGAGAAGCUAAGGAAACAUCCAGCAUUUUAUUGCCACUUUCCAGAGCAACACAAUCUCCCUCCUCACAGUGCAGGGAACUUCAGAUAUUCAGUUCAGUGCUACCUCCAUCCCAUGGCUGCUCACAAUAAAAGCACUGGCUGAUGCCUACUUUCUGAAACUAUGUGAGGCAAAGUUGAGGCUGAAAUGCAGGACCUCCCUUUUCUCAAGCCUGAUUUGUGUUGUCUGUCACCCUUUAUUUUAACAUUUGGGUUUAUGAAAUUCAAAGGGAAGAAUCAGAAAUGUUGCUAGUUAAAUUAAGCAAUGGAACAUCUUGUGUUUAUUUUUAGUUGGAAAAAGUGGAUUUUCUUUUCUGUAUGCUGAAGUUCUGCUGUCAGAGCCCUGCUGGUAAUGUGCAUGUUUUUGCAGACUUUGUGAACAAGUAAAUGUCCAUGCAUAGAUGGACCUUUGGCUUAGCUUCUGACCCUUUCAUGGUUAUUUUUGGCAAGAAAGUUCCAUAGAAUAAUAAGCAGUGGGACUGAAAUGUAGUUUAACUGCAGAUGGGAUAGUGGAGAGCCAUGCUUUGGUUGAUAAAGCUCUCUCAGAAGGCUUUUCCCAAGGGAGGCCCUUCUCUUCUCGAGGCUGCACUUCACUGUCUGUCACCUCCUGAAAGCAGAAUUCAAGAGGCAGCUCUGCUGCAGCUUUGAACCUCUGCCUGUCAAAGCCAGCAGGCUCACAGCAUUUCUUUUAGCUUCCUCCAUGAUUGACACCUGCCUGCUACUGAAGGCAAUGACAUGCUGCUUUUCAUCAUCCCACAACUCUGCUCGGUGCCUUUAAGCCAAAACAUAUGUUUGCUCAGAAUCACAGAUGCCUCCUAUCUUUAUUAAACAGCUAUUUCAGCCCAUGAUGAAGUCUGCAGUCCCAGAAGAUCUGGAAAGAAGUUUUGUGAAAUAGCAAUAGCCCAGUACAGAGAAAUAUCUAAUGCACAUAGCUGAUCUUUGGCCUGCUUACUUUCCUCUCUCUGGGAGAAUAAUAUUUGAAUGUAAACACUGUGUGUUGGUGCUCCCUGCCCAUGGCAGGGGGUGGAAUUAGAUGUUUUUUAAGGUUCCUUCCAACCCAAACCACUGUAUGACUCUGUGACUCCUUGCCAGCUGAAAAUGCCCUCCUUAAGAUGAAUUCCUCAUGAGCUUUCUGUACAACGGAAAUGUUGGACGUAGAUGCUAUGAUAGAACUUGAGAUAUCUCUCACGUACACAUCAGCUCUGAGCCCUUUGCCCAGGUUAUCCAUACUGGGAAUGGGAAAGUAGCACCUUUAUGGGAUGAUUCCUAAAGAAACCUGAAGUAUUGAAUGAUUUGCCAUUUAGGAAAGCCUAUUUGUCCCCUCUGUUGCUUAAGGGGGUUUAGUCAGCUAGCCAGAUGUUGGUAUUUGUUAGCUUUGAAGUAAGGACCAGCUGAAUGGGAUCACAGAAUCACAGAAUCACAGAAUUUCUAGGUUGGAAGAGACCUCAAGAUCAUCGAGUCCAGCCUCUGACCUAACGCUAACAGUCCCCACUAAACCAUAUCCCUAAGCUCUACAUCUAAACGUCUUUUAAAGACUUCCAGGGAUGGUGACUCCACCACUUCCCUGGGCAGCCUGUUCCAAU
rnacentral:lncRNA from 1 species